CCAUCACCCACCCACCUGCCACCACCAUAAACCCCAACCCAAAAUCAACCCACCACUAGCCACCACCACUAGAAAACAACGACCAAAUCACAAAACCCAACCAUCACAAAUCACAAAUCACAAAACAACCACCAUCACAAAGACAAAAUCCAGCCAUCACAAAAUUUCACCCACCACCAAACUGUGACCCACGACCCAGACCCACCAUGACCAAGUGACCCACAGUGACCGCCGAAGCACUGUGACUCGCACCCAUGGGAAAUCGGUGAGAGGGAGAGAGAAAACGAGCAAGAGAGGGCCACAAACAACCCCACAAACGCUUCUCUCUCAGCUCCUCUAGGGUUAUAGAGAGAAAAAGUUUGUUCAGCCUCAGACCAAUUUCUUCACAAUCCCAAAAAUACCUUCUUCAGUGAAACUGGGUUCCAUUAACCAGAGACUAUAGCCAUUGAAGAUGCUGUCAGAGUUCUAUUGCAUGGUUUAGGGGAGGAUAUUAAUAGAGAGGGUCUCAAGAAGACUCCUUUUCGUGUUGCCAAGGCACUUCGUGAAGGAACUAAAGAGAAUUGUCUAGCAGUGAUGAGAAAAAAUAUAAAGCACUGAAGCGGGCAACUGAAAGGGAGAUUUCUCAAAGUGUUGUUGUCAUCUGUUGCACAUGUGUUGGUGCUGGAGAUCCUCGAUUGGCAAAUUUUAGGUUCCGUCAGGUUGAAAUGUAUCUAACAUGUGGAAGUUUGUCCAGGAUUCACUAGUUUAAAAGCUUACUCUUUUUAACUUUUUGUUUUUUGUUUUGCUGCUAUUGGUAUUGUGCAUUUGGAUCAUUCACAGUGGUUUUAUUUUUUUGGAUUUUUCUAUUCACUGAUUUUUUUGGAAUGUUUUUCUAAAAAGUUAACCUCUUUUUAACUGAGAAGCUCUCUAGCUUUUUUGGCUUUUGAGUGUUUGACAAAUUGCGUUAAACAAUGCUUUAAAGUGGUAGAUUUAUAAAGCAUGAUUAGUGAAUUGUAUAGUUUUUUCAAUAAAAGCUUCAAAUUUUAGCUUCCUAAUCAUGAAGGUUGAUGUAGUUGAGCUUUAAACUAGUUUUCUAUUGGGGAGGGUUUGGGAAUUGGGAUAAGCGUAGGUCUUAGUUUUUUUUCUAAAAUGCAUUGAAAAUGCUGUUACUAUUAGUUGUAUGCAUAAUUUAUAUGUUUUUAAUAUAUUUCAUUCUUCUUUAUUUAGGUUUUUUAUUUAUUAGUGCUCGUUUAGAUGGAGAAACAAAUUUUUAUAAAUCUUUUCCCCUUUAAGAAAGAAACCAAAUAGAAUUCUCUUUUUUUUUUCUUCCUUUUUUUGAGAGAGAAUUUGAUUGGGAGGCAUUGACUCUCUCCCUCAACAACACAUGAUGAGCCAAUCCAGCCAAGGACUAUAAUAUGAGCGAGUGAAACUUCCUCCAAUCACAAAACAUUGUGAUUCUGUAUUAUGGGUCCCAAACCUUCACCUUGAUUCUCAUUGGUGCGUGUGGUACACAAACACAUGGUUGAGAGUGGAAUUUUCUUACAAAUUGGCUUGGGAAAAGAUAGAAGAAGCAAAAAAAAAAAAAAAAAUGCAUAAUAUAGUAUAGUAUAGAGUUUUUUUAAAUAAAAGAGUGUCAGAGGUUAGGGUCAAGUGAACGUGCAGUAUUUGAAGUACAGAUCUGGAUCCACUCAAAGCACCAAACUCAAAUUAAACAACACAAAAUCAGUACAAUAUACACAAUACAUCACAACACACCAACACUUCUCUCACUCACUGCCACUCUUACUGGUCUUUUGUUUUUAUACUUUCAAAGGAGAAAGAGAGGAGAGAGUGUGUGUCUGUGUGAGGUAGUGUUUAGAAAGAGAGAGAAUCUAGAGAGAGAGAGUGCUUAGGUAACUAGCUUUCAGCUUCUUCACUGCUCACUUAAUAGCCCUGACCCCAAGAAACAAAGCAACAGCAGUGAAGCGAUUGAAUGGUUCUUCUCUGCUCCAGCUGCUGCUGCUAGACUCUGCAAACCAGCAUAGGAAGAAGGCGGUGGUUUGGCUUUUGUAGUAAAGAUUGACACUUUGACUGCUAUUAUUUAUGUUUGAAGAGGGAAAGAGAGAGAAACAGCAACAAGAAAGUACCUUCUUUCAUGGCUGCUGUGGGUGCUAGGGCUACCACUUCCAUCACAACAAAUCCAUUGUGUGCUGUUAAGACCAGACUCCAGAUUGCAAAAAGAAGAGGCACUAUAAGUUCGUGUAAUCAAAGCAAGUGAAUUUGGUGAAAGACUUAAGAGGUUCAUGUGAUGAGUUGCUUGUAGAAUGCCAAUUUUCUCUUGAGGGUUACUGGUUGUUGUGGCAAAGUAGCACCAACAAUUUUGGCACUGUUGCCUUUGGUUAUGGAUGCUCCUCUGAUCGAACAAUCUCCAGCUCUCCCCAAAUCAUUAGCCGCAUCUCAUCAACCAAGAAGCUUAUAAGUUUUAUCUUGGAGUUCUUAGACUUUUUUGUGUACAAAGAACUAUAGAAGAAGAACCGCAUUUUUUCAAGUCUUGAAGGAUAUUUUUAAACACCUUGAAACUUUGAUUAUAGUAUUAGAUUAAUUUCAGCGGUUGUUUUAUUCAAAUGACCAC